UGCAGUCGAGCGAGAACGCCUGCUUCGGCAGGUUAGUAAAGCGGCGAACGGGUGAGUAACACGUGAGUCACCUACCCUCCAGUAGGGGAUAACACUUCGAAAGGGGUGCUAAUACCGUGUACGGUCCCGACCGUGUCUGCGGAUGGGACGAAAGGUGGCCUCUCUAUAGAAGCUGCCGCUGGAGGAUGGGCUCGCGGCCCAUUAGCUAGUUGGUAGGGUAACGGCCUACCAAGGCAAUUAUGGGUAGCUGGUCUGAGAGGACGAUCAGCCACACUGGAACUGAGACACGGUCCAGACUCCUACGGGAGGCAGCAGUGGGGAAUAUUGCACAAUGGGGGAAACCCUGAUGCAGCAACGCCGCGUGCGGGAUGAAGGCCUUCGGGUCGUAAACCGCUGUCAGGGGGGAAGAAAUCGCUCCGGUGAAUAGCCGGGGUGGAUGACGGUACCCCCAGAGGAAGCCCCGGCUAACUCCGUGCCAGCAGCCGCGGUAAGACGGAGGGGGCGAGCGUUGUUCGGAAUCAUUGGGCGUAAAGCGCGCGUAGGCGGUCGAGUAAGUCGGACGUGAAAGCCCAGGGCUCAACCCUGGAAGUGCGCUCGAUACUGCACGACUUGAGUACGGGAGAGGAGAGUGGAAUUCCCAGUGUAGCGGUGAAAUGCGUAGAUAUUGGGAGGAACACCAGUGGCGAAGGCGGCUCUCUGGACCGUUACUG
rnacentral:rRNA from 1 species